rnacentral:lncRNA from 1 species
UUAAAUGAGGCUUUCCUUGCCAUGGGUAAAAUUUCCCCUGGGUAAAAUUUCCCCUCAGUCUCCUGGUCAUGUAAGGGACGGGAUGACAUGGUUCCUACCGUUGGAACAGAGCCAGAAGGGCAUGGCCCUCCACUAGUGUUGAUGGGUGCUGUGGGCAUAAGUCUUGUUUAUAUAAUAGUUUUCAUGUUCCUCCUUCGAGGAAAGUCCCCUCUGCCAAGGUUAAUGACUCCAUGAUAAUCAGAGACAGCUUGAGUCUGGGAGGCGAGGUUGUGUCUACGUCUCAGCAAAAUGAUAGAACCUUCAGGACAUCCCUUAAGGAUGUGGGAAAGAAUGCUGAAAACAGAAGUAUAAUAUAGCUCCUCAGCUAUGCAAAGUAUAAGGAUGCAGUAUGAACCGUAUAAGGAGCGUCACAGAGCUAAAGGAGCAGAGGCAGCUGCACACAGCCAGCUGCUCAGACAGAUACUAAGGACAUAAAGAGAUUUUGGAAGUGGCGAUAGAAAGACAGGCUUAUCCCACACACCGAGUGACAAGGCUGUUUCCAGCUACAGAGCUUGUCAACCUCUGCCACCUCAGGACUCAGACUCUCACCACAGUUCCAGAGAAUGCCAGGCAAGUCCACUGAUUGGUCAGUUUAUGUCAGAUGACAGCUCUGUGUCCACCAGUUUGCCGUUCUCCUUCAACUUCAACUCUUUUCCCUCAUCUGAGAUCUUACUCAGUCUCAUGGCUUUAUAUUAUUUUAAAGAUUUGAUUUUUAAUUUUGUGUAUAUCUGUGUGUCUGUAUGUGUAGGUUUGUGCAUGUGAGUGUAGGUGCCCACAGAGGUCAGAAGGGGCAGUUUGAGCUCCUGGAGCUGGAGUUACAGGUGGGUACUAAGGAACCAAAUUUGGGGACUCUGGAAGAGUAGCAAGCACUCUUAGCCUCUGAGCCAUCCCUCCAACACCAAGAAGUUUAUUUUCUCAUCAUGUAACAAUCUCAGGUUGGGGCUGGAAGCUGGUCUCUACAAACACUCAUUUACAAACCCAGCUUUUCUCUGGCUUUACCUGUUUUCUCUGGCCCAUGUUAUAACCAGCAAGGCCAAAAGAAUGCCAGGCAGGCAUAUCUGUUUCCUAAGCUCAUUGGCUCGGAAGUAGCCUAUGACAUUUCUGCUCUAGCUUAUUGGUCAGAACCAAACACGAGACCACAUUUAGAUGCCUAGAGAUGCUUAGAUGCCCUUGGGUGUGAAGAAACACCAGGGAAUAAUUUGGCAUAGUUGCAUGUAAAAGAAGAGCCAGUCUUAGCAAUCACUGAGCUAUGUGUGGAAAACUGUUAUGGUCAAGAUCAAUUACCAAACUGGAGAGAUGGCUCAGCAGUUAAGAGUGCUUGGUCCUCCUGCAGGGGGCCUGGGUUUGGAUCCUGGCAGCUAUGCUGGGCACCUUAAAAGCACCUGCAACCCCAGCUGCAAGGGAAUCUAAUACCUCUCGCCUCUUCCGGUACUGCAUCCAUGUGCAUACUUUGGCAUACAUGCAUGCCCAUAAAUUAUUUUAAAAAUGUAAAAAAAAGAUUGACGACCAAUUUGAGGGGAUCUAGAUGGAUCUAGACAAGCCUCCAACAUACUGUGGGAGAUAUUUAGAUUAGGGUAACUGAGAUAGAAAGACCCACAUUACCUAUGGGUGGCACUGCUCCAUGGGCUGGGGUUUCUGGAGAGCUGAGUGCCAGCAUUCACCCGUCUGUUUCCUGACUGUGGUUGCAAUGCCAUGAUGGACGGGAUCUUCAAACUGUGCGUUCAAGUAAAUCCUUUCCCCUUAAUUGGCUCUGGUCAGGCAUUCUG